AGAUGGUGGAUAAAGGGGUUGCAUACAAAAGACCAUAAACCUGUAGCAGCAGCUGGAGACCGAGAGCCGCUCAUUCUCUCAGGACUGCGGAGUCCCGCUCAUUCAAAGGAGCCUCUGUUCUCAUUAAUACCUUCGCUUCAUUAUCUUUGUCCAAAGCUUCCUGCUCCACUUUGUCCUGUUUCCCCCCCUCCUCCCGCGAACUGAACUGCCGUCUCCCCCGUCAGUGCGCAGCUGCUGCUGGCACUCCCACAUCUGCUUGUUUCAGCUCGGCGGCCAUGAAGAGGACGCCGAGCCUCGGCUCACGGUGAAAGGCUGGAGACUCGGUCCGAGCAGCGACCUCCUUUAUGCGGCGAAGGCAGUUAAACUGCGCCAACACAGCGGGUAUGCGCAUGUUGAACAGCUUUCUCCCAGGAUGGAGGGACAAGCGGAAGAAAAGGAAGAAGCCAUGAUCUCUUCGCACCCUUUUUAUGCUGCGGGACAGGUGGAACCUGAAGAUCUAUGCUGACCAGCGUUGUACGGGCUGGACUCGUCCCCAGAGCUGCUGACAUGGCACCAAACAGGACUCUGGGAGGAUCCAACGACGGGGCAGGUUAUGUGUUAUCUUUGUUAAAAUUGCUGGAGCAGAUUAAUCUUCACAGAUCAGUUUCUGGCCAUUUAGUUGUCAGUGUCAUGUUUUCGCCCGCGCAUAAUGAAAAGCUCUGACGGCCGACGAAAGAAUAGGAGCCAGAUCCCUUUGGGGAUCUUGAUAGGACAGUUGGGUUGCGUCCCACUUUUCUGCUGCUUUGUGUUGUGUGUCCCUUCUCCAGUUGCACUGAUGAAAAAGCAGAUUUGGCCUCAACCAGAUCCCACUGUGCCCCAGCUGGCGUUCCUCCACCUCCUUUGCUGCGCUGCCUUACAGAACGUGGCGGAGACGUGUGUCGUGAUGCGUCCUCGAAGGAAAACCUUCAGCACUAGUGUGUCUCUCAACCGAGAGACGACUUCUGCUUCUAUUCGUCAGCCAAAAGAAACGAGCUAUUGCUUUGCUGUCAUUGUCCGUUUAAUCACGUGUGGCUGCUGGAAGGGACUUCAGUCAGAGCCGUCUGCUGCUCUGUUAAAGCCGUUUUAUAGCUUAAUUCAGUCCCUCUCCUGUUUCUUUUUCUGUUGAUUAGAUGCAUAGAAACCUGUACUGCAAAUCAGGUAUCGGACCACCUGAGUUACAAUUUUUAUUUAUUUUUUUUGCAAUUGAUCGUUUCUCCCAAGCGUUCACCUGCUUAUGUAACAUUACCUUCUGUGUCUGUUUGUGAAAACUGGCCUGCAGUGUUUCCAGAUCCAUAUAUAUGAGGGGUUUAUAUUCGAGGCCUGUACGAACAAAAAUAUUAUGUGCUGGUGUGUGAAAAUGACGGAUGUUCUCACCUUCUAAUAAUGUGUAAAUCACACAUUUGUGCUUGUUGAGAAACCUCCCGAGCUCAACGCGAAACCAGCUAUUUUUACUGUACUAUUCUGUAGUUGAACUGUAGGGUGUGUGUGUGUGUGUGUGGGAUGAAUGUCUGAGUGUGUGUGUGGGUGUGUGUGUGCGUGUGUGGGAGAGUGCAUGUGUUUCUCUGCAUGCGCUCCAUCUGUGUUAGUGGCAGUACCUGUGCACGUGUGUCUCAUCAGUCCGAUAAGACGUGUCUGUAAUGGGCCUGAAACUGCCGCUACAAUCCUUUUUAGCCACUGGAUGUGCCAGAUAAGGGAUAAAACAUUAUUUACUGAUGAUUCUUAGCAUUUGUUACAGCCUCAUUAAGAAAAAAAAACCAACAAAAAAAACAGUGCUACUUGUGAUUUAGAUCACAAGGAUGUCAUUGGAAAUUAGUGCGGUGCAGUUUUCUGAAUGACGCCUGCCGGCAAAAGUCGAGACGGUUUCAGUGCCAGCAGCCCCGUCUUAAGCAAAUUACAGCAAAUGCUAAUAAUGAUGCGUAAAUAGCCUUUUACCCACGUCUGGAUUGCACUAACAGUAUCUGACUAAUAUCUAACAGUACUAACGUCUGCUAACAGUCGAAGGAGUACUAACCCGUGUUGAGAAUGCAGACGCCUUGGCACUUCUAACCCACUAACUUCCCUUUCUGCUUUAUGCACACUUCAAGAUGCACACUUCUCUUGCAUGAUCCUGCAAUCCUUUUAGAGGUGUCCGACGCGGAGAUCCUAGAGCGAGCAUGGAAAGAAGGGUUUCAGGACCCGGGGAAGGGCAACGUUGAAAACCGAACAGCUAGAAGAAGAGCAGCAGCAGCAGCUGCAGCUGCUGAGGUCAAACUCGGUUGACCACAUACUGAAGCUGGAAAAAUGUGAUCUGAUCCCAAGCGAUUUCAUUUUAAAGGCUAAAUUUGCAUGUUUUAAAAUGAGUUUUUUAUAUAAAGCAUUUUCUCUCUCUGGUUGUAUUCUGUGUGGUCAACCCGGCCUUUUUGUCCCUGCAGGUAGUAACUAACUCCUAAUACUGCUCAUACUAACAAUGUAGAGGCUGUAUCGGACCAUCUGCUACUCUUACUAACAUCUUCCUGUCGUCUGAUUGAUUUCACGUUAAUUAAAGCAUGCGUUGUGGUACCAGUGAUGCUGAUUAUAAGACAGUCAACUGGCUUUCCCUUCCCCCCAGAAAGCAUCAACGUUCCCAAGUGUGUUUUAAGAGCUGAGUGGAAGUUUUAUCUCUUAAAAAGCAACUUAAAUGUUACUAACCAGAGGAGCUUCCAAGAGCUCUGCAAACUAACAAACUAACCUACUAAUAAACUAAUUUUCUAACAUUAACUAACUGAGAUCACCAACUGUGUUUUUAAUGUGACAGUCACCAGAGCACCUUCAAACCGAGGAGCUGCAUCGCUUACUGAAUGUAUUUCAGAGUGUUUGAACGGGUGUUUGAGAAGAAAGAGUGCGUGCUGCAGUCAAAGUCAACAAUAUUUUAAAUACAAUUGUCAUUAAAAAUAUUUUUCAAGGCUACACGUUUACGCCAAAGUUGAUUGGCGUAAACCUGAGCCGUCUUCAUUUUCCCAAGUUGGCGCACAGCUUUUCACAGGAGACAGUUGUGCCGCUCCGCCAAUCCACGCCGUGUCUCACGAUGAGCCUGUGCUGGAGGCUGAAAGCUGCCGUAACGUGGCCAGCAGGUCCACAGGAGGGUCAUGGCAACAUUGUAUGGAGGUAGUUUGCCUUGUCAGGCAGAGAAACAGGAAAAGUCAAUGAAUUUUGCUAGUCACUGAUGACAGCUGUGCCACAAAGUGGAGUGAGAUUUGAUAAAGCAUCCAAAGGGUAGAUACUCUGAUGGUCACAAGGAAUCUGUAGAGGUCAUUGAAGCUCCCAUAUUUGCAAGAAUGUCGUAUUCAAAAUGCCUGACUGCUUAACCCUAGCUGUUUAGAUAUGAGCAACUUUCUGCUAGUCACCUACGAACUGAUGUGCGUUUAGCGUAAAACUUUCAGUUGCAGGCCGCUCCAUCAGGCAGGAAGUGAC